rnacentral:rRNA from 1 species
ACAGUCACACAUUAGAUACCCGGGUAGUCCCAGCCGUAAACAAUGUGCGUUAGGUGUGUCGGUAACCACGUGUUACUGAUGCGCCGAAGAGAAAUCGUGAAACGCACCACCUGGGAAGUACGGUCGCAAGGCUGAAACUUAAAGGAAUUGGCGGGGAGCACCACAACAGGUGGAGCCUGCGGUUUAAUUGGAUUCAACGCCGGACAUCUCACCGGAUAAGACAGCUGAAUGAUUGUCAAUCUGAAGGUUUUACAUGACUAGCUG